rnacentral:rRNA from 1 species
UACGUACCGUACGAACGUUAUUCGGAAUUAUUGGGCUUAAUGGGUGCGUAGGCGGUGCAGAAAGUUGGGUGUGAAAUCCCUCGGCUCAACCGAGGAACUGCGCCCAAAACUACUGUGCUCGAGGAAGACAGAGGUAAGCGGAACUUCGGGUGGAGCGGUGAAAUGCGUUGAUAUCCGAAGGAACACCGGUGGCGAAAGCGGCUUACUGGGUCUUUUCUGACGCUGAGGCACGAAAGCUAUCUUCGCGAACGGG